CACUCCCAGGCUGGUGGGGAAUCCCAGACCAGGGACACUAUUUGUGCAAGACGCCCCAACACAUCACAGACUGACUGAGGCCCUGGGACCAAGAUUCCUGGCAGCAGAGGAUGACAGACAAGGCUCCCAGCAGCCCCUUGCCUGACUCUGUCUCAGAUGCCAGAGAGCCUGGCCUGACGGGAAAAGGGGCCCAGGCCGAGGCUGGUGGCCGGGGAAGGCAGACUGGGCACAGGGU